GGUUAAGUUAGAAAGGGCGCACGGUGGAUGCCUUGGCACUAGGAGCCGAUGAAGGACGGGACGAACACCGAUAUGCUUCGGGGAGCUGUAAGCAAGCUUUGAUCCGGAGAUUUCCGAAUGGGGAAACCCACCACUCGUAAUGGAGUGGUAUCCAUAUCUGAAUACAUAGGAUAUGAGAAGGCAGACCCGGGGAACUGAAACAUCUAAGUACCCGGAGGAAGAGAAAGCAAAUGCGAUUCCCUGAGUAGCGGCGAGCGAAACGGGACCAGCCCAAACCAAGAGGCUUGCCUCUUGGGGUUGUAGGACACUCUGUACGGAGUUACAAAGGAACGAGGUAGAUGAAGAGGUCUGGAAAGGCCCGCCAUAGGAGGUAACAGCCCUGUAGUCAAAACUUCGUUCUCUCCUGAGUGGAUCCUGAGUACGGCGGAACACGUGAAAUUCCGUCGGAAUCCGGGAGGACCAUCUCCCAAGGCUAAAUACUCCCUAGUGACCGAUAGUGAACCAGUACCGUGAGGGAAAGGUGAAAAGCACCCCGGAAGGGGAGUGAAAGAGAUCCUGAAACCGUGUGCCUACAAGUAGUCAGAGCCCGUUAACGGGUGAUGGCGUGCCUUUUGUAGAAUGAACCGGCGAGUUACGAUCCCGUGCAAGGUUAAGCAGAAGAUGCGGAGCCGCAGCGAAAGCGAGUCUGAAUAGGGCGAAUUGAGUACGUGGUCGUAGACCCGAAACCAGGUGAUCUACCCAUGUCCAGGGUGAAGUUCAGGUAACACUGAAUGGAGGCCCGAACCCACGCACGUUGAAAAGUGCGGGGAUGAGGUGUGGGUAGGGGUGAAAUGCCAAUCGAACCUGGAGAUAGCUGGUUCUCUCCGAAAUAGCUUUAGGGCUAGCCUCAAGGUAAGAGUCUCGGAGGUAGAGCACUGAUUGGACUAGGGGCCCUACCGGGUUACCGAAUUCAGUCAAACUCCGAAUGCCGAUGACUUAUCCUUGGGAGUCAGACUGCGAGUGAUAAGAUCCGUAGUCGAAAGGGAAACAGCCCAGACCGCCAGCUAAGGUCCCAAAGUAUACGUUAAGUGGAAAAGGAUGUGGAGUUGCUUAGACAACCAGGAUGUUGGCUUAGAAGCAGCCACCAUUUAAAGAGUGCGUAAUAGCUCACUGGUCGAGUGACUCUGCGCCGAAAAUGUACCGGGGCUAAACGUAUCACCGAAGCUGCGGACUGUUCUUCGAACAGUGGUAGGAGAGCGUUCUAAGGGCUGUGAAGCAAGACCGGAAGGACUUGUGGAGCGCUUAGAAGUGAGAAUGCCGGUAUGAGUAGCGAAAGAGGGGUGAGAAUCCCCUCCACCGAAUGCCUAAGGUUUCCUGAGGAAGGCUCGUCCGCUCAGGGUUAGUCGGGACCUAAGCCGAGGCCGAAAGGCGUAGGCGAUGGAUAACAGGUUGAUAUUCCUGUACCACCUCCUCACCAUUUGAGCAAUGGGGGGACGCAGGAGGAUAGGGUAAGCGCGGUAUUGGAUAUCCGCGUCCAAGCAGUUAGGCUGGGAAAUAGGCAAAUCCGUUUCCCGCGAAGGCUGAGCUGUGAUGGCGAGCGAAUUAUAGUAGCGAAGUUCCUGAUUCCACACUGCCAAGAAAAGCCUCUAGCGAGGUGAGAGGUGCCCGUACCGCAAACCGACACAGGUAGGCGAGGAGAGAAUCCUAAGGUGAUCGAGAGAACUCUCGUUAAGGAACUCGGCAAAAUGACCCCGUAACUUCGGGAGAAGGGGUGCUCUGUUAGGGUGCAAGCCCGAGAGAGCCGCAGUGAAUAGGCCCAGGCGACUGUUUAGCAAAAACACAGGUCUCUGCGAAGCCGUAAGGCGAAGUAUAGGGGCUGACGCCUGCCCGGUGCUGGAAGGUUAAGAGGAGCGCUUAGCGUAAGCGAAGGUGCGAAUUGAAGCCCCAGUAAACGGCGGCCGUAACUAUAACGGUCCUAAGGUAGCGAAAUUCCUUGUCGGGUAAGUUCCGACCCGCACGAAAGGCGCAACGAUCUGGGCACUGUCUCAACGAGAGACUCGGUGAAAUUAUAGUACCUGUGAAGAUGCAGGUUACCCGCGACAGGACGGAAAGACCCCGUGGAGCUUUACUGCAGCCUGAUAUUGAAUGUUGGUACAGCUUGUACAGGAUAGGUAGGAGCCUUGGAAACCGGAGCGCCAGCUUCGGUGGAGGCAUCGGUGGGAUACUACCCUGGCUGUAUUGACCUUCUAACCCGCCGCCCUUAUCGGGCGGGGAGACAGUGUCAGGUGGGCAGUUUGACUGGGGCGGUCGCCUCCUAAAAGGUAACGGAGGCGCCCAAAGGUUCCCUCAGAAUGGUUGGAAAUCAUUCGCAGAGUGUAAAGGCACAAGGGAGCUUGACUGCGAGACCUACAAGUCGAGCAGGGACGAAAGUCGGGCUUAGUGAUCCGGUGGUUCCGCAUGGAAGGGCCAUCGCUCAACGGAUAAAAGCUACCCCGGGGAUAACAGGCUUAUCUCCCCAAGAGUCCACAUCGACGGGGAGGUUUGGCACCUCGAUGUCGGCUCAUCGCAUCCUGGGGCUGUAGUCGGUCCCAAGGGUUGGGCUGUUCGCCCAUUAAAGCGGUACGCGAGCUGGGUUCAGAACGUCGUGAGACAGUUCGGUCCCUAUCCGUCGCGGGCGCAGGAAAUUUGAGAGGAGCUGUCCUUAGUACGAGAGGACCGGGAUGGACGCACCGCUGGUGUACCAGUUGUUCUGCCAAGGGCAUCGCUGGGUAGCUAUGUGCGGACGGGAUAAGUGCUGAAAGCAUCUAAGCAUGAAGCCCCCCUCAAGAUGAGAUUUCCCAUUCCGCAAGGAAGUAAGAUCCCUGAAAGAUGAUCAGGUUGAUAGGUCUGAGGUGGAAGUGUGGCGACACAUGGAGCUGACAGAUACUAAUCGAUCGAGGACUUAACCAA
rnacentral:rRNA from 1 species